UACGGAGGAUGCAAGCGUUAUCCGGAAUGAUUGGGCGUAAAGCGUCCGCAGGUGGCUGUGUAAGUCUGCUGUCAAAGAGCAAAGCUCAACUUUGUAAAGGCAGUGGAAACUACACGGCUAGAGUGCGUUCGGGGCAGAGGGAAUUCCUGGUGUAGCGGUGAAAUGCGUAGAGAUCAGGAAGAACACCGGUGGCGAAAGCGCUCUGCUAGGCCGCAACUGACACUCAUGGACGAAAGCUAGGGGAGGCGAAUGGG
rnacentral:rRNA from 1 species